rnacentral:rRNA from 1 species
UACGUAGGGGGCGAGCGUUGUCCGGAUUCAUUGGGCGUAAAGCGCUUUAAGGCGGUUCGCUAAGUCGGGUGGGAAACCUCCAGGCUCAACCUGGAGACGCCACUCGAUACUGGCGUGACUAGAGUUCGGUAGGGGACCACGGAAUUCCUGGUGUAGCGGUGAAAUGCGCAGAUAUCAGGAGGAACACCAGUGGCGAAGGCGGUGGUCUGGGCCGAUACUGACGCUGUAGAGCGAAAGCGUGGGGAGCGAACAGG